rnacentral:lncRNA from 1 species
CUCAUAUUAUCCUUAUAACAAUGCUUCAGUUAGUACAAGUAUUAUUAUUUCUCUUUUACAGAUGAGGAAGCCGAGACUCAGAGGACUCGAGUGAUUUUUUUCCCCCAAGGUCACAUAAGUUUCAGAGUUCAUGAACCAGUGCCUAGGAGAAUCAUGGAACUCAACCUUCCAACAAUGACAUCACUCCAAGGAAGAUAUUGUGAUAGAGGCUGGCACUAAAGAAAAAGUGCCAGACUGAAGAGUAUAUGGAAUUGAUCACCUUGAUGGGGGAGGGGCUCCAGGAGUGAAUUUCUGGAGGAGAGAAGACUCUGGCUGGGAGAGCAGUGUGGGUCUCUCUGUCUUGAGAAGUCAGAGAGAAGGUGGAUAAAGACUUUCUCCUGAGGGUUACCCAUUUUCCUACUGAUGACUAGAAAUCUUCCCCCUCCCCAAACUUC